rnacentral:sRNA from 1 species
AUCCUUGGCUGCUUGCUUUCUCUUUCCCUCAGUUUAUCUCUUAGAG